CAAUGAAAUGACCUUGAAUGAACUUCAGUGAGAUUAGCUCAGAGAAGGGAUUAAACACAUUUAUGUGAGUACAGUGCUGAGAGGAACCAAGAGAGAACAAAGUGGCACGGUGUCCUGGGAUCCAAUGGCCUCCUGGUGCAGGAAGUGUGGGCAGCAAGACCCCAGAUACUUGCCUUACACCUCUGUGCGGAUCACAGAGGCAGAGAUGAGGGCUUACCACCAUUUCCUGGGAAGUUGCAUCAGGCUAGAAUAUAUGGCAAAACAAGCACUUCCGCUGCUCCAAUCCUCCCAGCGCUCUGAAGCAGCGUCUGUCCCUGAUACGAGCAGUGGCACAACCCACAAACCGUCAUAGCAUUGGAUGCAGACGUCCUUUCUUUUGAGGAUAUAGAUCAAGAGAUGUGGAGAAGUAUUUCCCUGGGUCUCCAGUGGUGUUAAAAGAGUAGAUGUGUGGGGCUGCCCUGCCAGCCCCGAGCACUGGAUCACGAGUGACAGAGCCACCCAUGUGGUCUUUAACACAUGUAUUUAUGAGAGGGAGGGCUGUGAAACGUGGAGCUCCCAACAGUGUGGGGUCUGGGGCAGGGGUCACAAGGAAGCUUUUGGGGUGAUGGAAAUGUUCCAUAUCUUGAUCUGUUUGAUGGUUAUGUGAGUGUAUAUAUUUAUCAGAAUACAUGAAACUGUACACUGAGGAUCUGUGCGUUGUGCUGCAUGUAAAUUGUACUUCAAUAAAGUCCUAUUAGCAUAAAAAAUAAAGGCUACCAGAGCAUAUUUUUCUGUAUGUAAGCUAAGUGGGUAAGAACAAUAUGAUUCCGUUACUCUAACACAACUAUUUCAAAUAUUCUUUUCUCAUAUGCUCACACACAUGUGCACAAAUACACCACGUACUUUCUUCUUCUUUUUUUAAACUUGUCUGCAGUCUCACCUCACAUAUAGUUUUUAUGUCCUUGAUAUUAUAUUUUGAAUCUUUUUCUGUGGAGAUGGUUUUCACAAUUAUAUAAUGAAUGCUUUCAUCUCUUAACUCUUAUAAAUAGUAUUUCCAGUCUACCUUUUUUAUGUAUAACAUUUUAAUUUUACUAUUUUCUUGGCCUAAAUUUCCAGAUAUUAGAUGAAUGAAUAAAAGAUUAUGAAGAUUUUAAUGACUGUGUAUUGAAACUCUGUAUUGCAAUGGUUAAGAUGUUGGGCUUUGGAGUUCAGAAUGAGAUGGGUUCAAAUUCUGGCUCUGCUUGACCUUGGAUGAGCUUGGAUGACCUUGAUUGACCUUGGAUGAGCAAAUCUAGUUCAAUAUCACCCUUAGCAUUGUUUUGAGGAUUAAAUGAGAUGCUGCAUAUAAAGGGUUUGGUAUGUAACUACACAAUAAUCACUGGAUAAAAUAUUGUGAAACCACUUUCUAAAAGGGAUCUACCAGCUUCACACCCCAAGGUCAUGUACAUGUAUUAGUUUUCCAAGAAAACCCCAGGAUUGGGUGUUAGAGUCUCAGUUAUUUUAUGGAUGAAUGAGGUAUUCUAUUAUUGUUUUAAUUGCAUUAUUUGACUAGUGGGAAAUUGGACAUUUUUCAGUGUUCUUGCUAUUAAAAUUCUAGAUUUCUCCUU